rnacentral:rRNA from 1 species
UACCAGCACCUCAAGUGGUCAGGAUGAUUAUUGGGCCUAAAGCAUCCGUAGUCUGCUCUGUUAGUUUUCGGUUAAAUCCAUGUGCUCAACACAUGGGCUGCCGAUAAUACUGCAGAGCUAGGGAGUGGGAGAGGUAGACGGUACUCAGUAGGAAGGGGUAAAAUCCUUUGAUCUAUUGAUGACCACCUGUGGCGAAGGCGGUCUACCAGAACGCGUUCGACGGUGAGGGAUGAAAGCUGGGGGAGCAAAUCGG